GUCCACACCAUCACACACACACAUCUAUACAGUCCACACCGUCACACAUCCAUACAGUCCACACCGUCAUACAAACACACACACAUCUAUACAGUCCACACCGUCACACAUCUAUACAGUCCACACCGUCAUACACACACACAUCUCUACAGUCCACACCAUCACAUACACACACACAUCUAUAUGGUCUACACCGUCACACACACACAUCUAUACAGUCCACACCGUCGUACACACACGCCCACACCCGCAUGCCCACACAUCCAUACAGUCCACAUUCACGUAUGCCCAUAUGCAUCCAUUCACACGUGUGUACACAUGCUCACACACAUUCAUAGACUCCACACAUGCACACGUGCGCACACACGCACAUGCUCGCACACAUGCACAGAUACACUCACGUCCACACACGCUCAAACAUGCGUGCACACCCGGAGG
rnacentral:lncRNA from 1 species